UCCCUUGUCGACGCCACACCUCCAGUACCAACAGGGCAACACAUUGACGUGGAGGGACGAUACAUUACAUCUCGUCUUAUACAUGUCUGCUGGAGGAACGUUUUCUCAGACGAGGAAAGUGGAAUAAAGUCAUACAGCGUUGCUAUGGGCACCAGACUUGCGUAUACUGAUGUGUCAGAGUACAUGAUGACCGUUGAGGAUUGUUUGGACAUUGACACACUUAAUAAAACAGAGGAUGGUCACUCUUAUUAUAUAACUGUGAAGGCCAUCAACGGUGCAGGUCUGUACACACUGUCAU